UACGUAGGGGGCAAGCGUUGUCCGGAAUCAUUGGGCGUAAAGAGCGUGUAGGCGGCCCGGUAAGUCCGCUGUGAAAGUCCAGGGCUCAACCCUGGAAUGCCGGUGGAAACUGUCGGGCUAGAGUCCGGAAGAGGCGAGUGGAAUUCCUGGUGUAGCGGUGAAAUGCGCAGAUAUCAGGAGGAACACCAAUGGCGAAGGCAGCUCGCUGGGACGGUAGCUGACGCUGAGACGCGAAAGCGUGGGGAGCAAACAGG
rnacentral:rRNA from 1 species